rnacentral:rRNA from 1 species
GAUGAACGCUGGCGGCGUGCCUAGUACAUGCAAGUCGAGCGAACGGACGAGAAGCUUGCUUCUCUGAUGUUAGCGGCGGACGGGUGAGUAACACGUGGAUAACCUACCUAUAAGACUGGGAUAACUUCGGGAAACCGUAGCUAAUACCGGAUAAUAUUUUGAACCGCAUGGUUCAAAAGUGAAAGACGGUCUUGCUGUCACUUAUAGAUGGAUCCGCGCUGCAUUAGCUAGUUGGUAAGGUAACGGCUUACCAAGGCAACGAUGCAUAGCCGACCUGAGAGGGUGAUCGGCCACACUGGAACUGAGACACGGUCCAGACUCCUACGGGAGGCAGCAGUAGGGAAUCUUCCGCAAUGGGCGAAAGCCUGACGGAGCAACGCCGCGUGAGUGAUGAAGGUCUUCGGAUCGUAAAACUCUGUUAUUAGGGAAGAACAUAUGUGUAAGUAACUGUGCACAUCUUGACGGUACCUAAUCAGAAAGCCACGGCUAACUACGUGC